AGAGAGAGACAGAGAGACAGAGAGAUGAAGGGUAUUAAGAGAUCUUUGAUGGUAGGUGCAGUGGUGAUUCUCUUGCUUGCAGCAGCAGAAGGGGACCAAACAAAGACGUCUCCUUACAAAGAUUGCUAUGGAAAAUGCUAUUCCGAGUGCAAUCUCACAAAGCCUCUUUUCUGUGCCUCACUUUGUGUUGGCAAAUGCAAGCAUGGAAAGUCCAUCCCAGAUAAUCUCUGCAACUGUACUUACAGUUGCUCCAAGUUUAGGUGUGCAAAUGUGGGCUCUGAUCCAGAGAAAAUACAAAGCUGUGUGAGUAGCUGCUCCAAUUUGUGCACCAGAAGUAACUAUUAGCAUUUGUACUUGGCCAAACAGCCACUUUAUGUAAUGCUGGCCAUUGAAAUAAAAAAGCUAGGCAUCAUGAAAUUGAUGUUCUGUUUCUAUAAUGAAAUAAAAUGCUAGUUUUCAGUUCUA